rnacentral:rRNA from 1 species
UACGUAGGGGGCGAGCGUUGUCCGGAAUUAUUGGGCGUAAAGGGCUCGUAGGCGGUUUGUCGCGUCGGGAGUGAAAACCAGGUGCUUAACACCUGGCUUGCUUUCGAUACGGGCAGACUAGAGGUAUGCAGGGGAGAACGGAAUUCCUGGUGUAGCGGUGAAAUGCGCAGAUAUCAGGAGGAACACCAAUUGCGAAGGCAGCUCGCUGGGACGUAACUGACGCUGAGACGCGAAAGCGUGGGGAGCAAACAGG